CUGAGAUGGUGGGAAAUGGCUCCUGCACGGAAAACAUGCUUCCCGUAGUCCCAGGCAGCUUAGAAGACCUACUGAUGAGCAUCGAAACAGAAUCCUGCUCCUAAGCCUGGCUGUGCUCUCCCAGUGUGAGGUCUUUGGUUGCCGUCCAUGUCAUCGUCCUCCUCCUUACCACAGGGGCCCUGGGCAGCCAACCUUGGCAAUACUCAUGCAGAUCUAAUGAAACCAUGCCCACAGACACCAUCUGUGCCCCUGCCUGGCUACCUCAUGCCUGUGCCUGGUUGGAGGCUGCACAUCUUUGGCUGGGGUUUGCUCUUGGCCUGGAUUCCAUUUUCUCCCAGCAAGGCCAGAUCACCACAGGAAGCCAGCCAGCCUGCUUCAUUCCCCCUGAGAGAUUUCAUCUUCAUUUUAAGGGGUUUUGGGCAAAGGUCUCUUCUUCUGGAGCUACUUCCUGCUGAGGCGAGUGUCAUUCCUAUAUCCUUUACCUUUACCUGAGAGGAAUGGAACUCCUUUCAGCUUAAGGGGACAAUCUGCUAGGGCUGAGGGCUUCUGGAACACACUGGAAGCACUGCACGGUCAGUAACAUUGUUGCAAUCUAGAAGACAAAAGUUUUCCCAGGAAGUUAAACAAGCAUGGUCCAAAAAUCAAAAGAAGGAUAGCCGCUGAUGGUCCUAAGGAAGGAAGAAACCAACUUGUAGAGAGAGAGGUGAUGAGGCAGCAUUCGGAACUGACUCCUCUGCUGGGCUCCCUUUACCAGAGAGUGUGG
rnacentral:lncRNA from 10 species